GCUUAUAGACACCUACAACACCAGAAGCAUCGCAAGCGCAUUGCCGACCCAAUCCCCAAUCCCCCAGGAGCUCUGGUCACCUUACUCACCAACAGGAACACAAUACUGCUUGCAAACAGCUGAGAGGUGUUGCAGGCGUCUAUAAGCUACGGUAAUCUCUUACCAUCGGGUGAGCUGUACGCUUGUUUGUCGACCUAGUGGUAUAAAAAAAAAAACA
rnacentral:misc_RNA from 1 species